AGAAUCAACGCUGGCGGCGUGCCUAACACAUGCAAGUCGAACGAGAAAGUGGAGCAAUCCACGAGUAAAGUGGCGCACGGGUGAGUAACACGUGACUAACCUACCCUUGAGUGGGGAAUAACUGAGGGAAACCUUAGCUAAUACCGCAUAAUACCUACGGGUCAAAGGAGCAAUUCGCUUAAGGAGGGGGUCGCGGCAGAUUAGUUAGUUGGCGGGGUAAUGGCCCACCAAGACAGUGAUCUGUA
rnacentral:rRNA from 1 species